GUGGGGAAUCUUGCGCAAUGGGCGAAAGCCUGACGCAGCGACGCCGCGUGGGUGAUGAAGGCCUUCGGGUUGUAAAGCCCUGUGGAGGGGGACGAAUAAGUCGGAGCGAAUAGCUCGCGAUGAUGACGGUACCCCUUUAGCAAGCACCGGCUAACUCUGUGCCAGCAGCCGCGGUAAGACAGAGGGUGCAAACGUUGUUCGGAAUUACUGGGCGUAAAGCGCGUGUAGGCGGCUUGGCAAGUCGGGUGUGAAAGCCCCGGGCUCAACCUGGGAAGUGCACUCGAAACUGCCUCGCUCGAGUACUGGAGAGGGAAGUGGAAUUCUCGGUGUAGAGGUGAAAUUCGUAGAUAUCGAGAGGAACAUCGGUGGCGAAGGCGGCUUCCUGGACAGUUACUGACGCUGAGACGCGAAAGCGUGGGGAGCAAACAGGAUUAGAUACCCCAGUAGUCC
rnacentral:rRNA from 1 species